UGCAAGUAGCUUAUUGCAUGCAAGACACCUACCCACUAAGAAUGCCAAGUGGUGAGAUAUAAAAGCUCUUACAUUUAGUUUGCUUGUAAAGUGAUUUAUUGCAAAGAUGAAAGGACUCUUUGUUUUGAAAAGUGUAUGAGUUAAUUUUGUAAUUGUGAAUUAUAAAAAUAAUCUAAGAACCUCUUUUACUCUCAACAACAAAAAUAUCUAAUAGUUAGGUUUCUAAAAAAAAGGUAUCAUCUCUCUCCAUUAUUUCCUCCACCAUUUGAGUUUCACAACUCGGUUUCAAGCCCGGAGAAUAGCGGGUCAACUCUAGUGGCAGUCUUGACUUCAAAUUCGUGAAGAGAAUACAAGAGAAGAAAAGCUUCAAAGGUAAGUUUUUUCUAUUAACCCCAUCUUUGGUUUAUAUUAUGGUUAUUGUGCACGUUGAUUUCUAAAUUUUGUUUAGUUGCAAUUAGAGUAAAAUUUGUUCCUUUAUCCGUUGCGCAUAUCUACCGUUUUCAUCAGAAAAAAUGGAAGGCACGUUAUGAAAUUUGCAAAUUACGUUAAGAAAAAAUAUUUUGCAGAUACGGUUGCCUAUCAAGUAUUGUGCUUGCAUCUUAUAUAACAUGUUGGCAAGGAUAGAAAGUAAACCAAUAAGUAUGCAAUAUACAUAUCUAACGUAAUAGGAGACAUAUUGUGAAAGUGAAAGAGAAGUUACUCAAGUUUUAUUUGUAAUAAAAUGAAUGAAUCAUAUUACAAUAAUAAGGGAGAAGUUGGAUUUUAAUUUUUUCUUGAUCUGAUUGAACUGUUGAUGCAAUUAAUAGUGAAUUUGUGCCCCUUCUGCCCUCAUGAGAGGAUUUUUCUUUGUGUUAUGAUUUCCUUUAAAAGAAAUGUUAAGACAUAACUUAUGAUAAGAAAAUAAUUGAACCAUAUUUUUUCAUUUAAGUGGGAGAUGGAGGAAAAUAAUUCCAAUUCACAUAAACACACGACCAUUCAAAACCAUUGUUCAAGUUUAUUCAUUUUUUUUUUAUUAUUUAAGAAACAAUUCUUUCUUAUUUCUUUUUUACUUUUAUUUGGUUUUGGUUCGAGAUUCAUUUUUAUAUUUUUUUUUCAAAUGGUUAUUUGAUUGUUCCAAAUAUAAAAUAUCGUGAAAAAAGACCGUUGAGAUAUUGGAUAGAAAAAUCUACACUAUUAUCUACAAAUAAUAAUCUUAAAAAAUCGUUACUUAAACAACCAAAUCUGUGUAAAAAAAAUCGUUGAGAUUUUGCUUAUCAAAUUUCAACGAUUAUGUAAAAAUAGUCAAAUCUAAAUUAUCGUUUACCAAAUAUAUUAUACACAAUGGGUUUCAAUUAAAUGAGGGGCAUUUUUUUUUCAUUGUGGACAUGUGAACUUUUUUCGUUUUCGAAAUUGUUCUAUAUCGUGUAAAUACUUUAGCAAUUUGUUAUAUUUUUAAUAGUUUGAUCAUUUAUAAUAUUUUUAAUUUCAUAUAUUUUUUAUUAUCAUAUACAUUAUUUUCUUUUUUCAGACUCGGUUUCCUGGUUCCGUCCCAAAACGCCGAAGAAAGGCACAAUGACCUAGAAAGGAACGACCGGACUUAGAACGGGGUCGAAGGCCUCGAAAGUUCACAUCUAACCACUGGGUGGUCCGAUUCUGAGUGAUCUCGAAGUUUCUUGCCCACAGAAGCCAAACAGCGAUGCUCCAAACAAAUUUUUCUAUAUGGAAAUUUUCUUUGUUAACAAUGAUCUUUUUAAAGAAAAUGAGCAAAAUGUUUUUUAAUGAAAAAAUUGAAAGGGAUAGAUUAUGGUGCGUAAAAUCUCGUAGUUUUAGUUCAAAGUAACUAAAAGGUUUUUAGUUUUUGUUUAAUGAUGAAUUUGUCAUAAUUAAAUUAAUUAUCCAUUUUGAGUUUAUUUUAGAUAGAAAAGAGAGAGAGAGAGAUUAUAUUUAAUUCUAAAAACAAAUAGAAUACUACUUCUUGUUGGACUUUAUUAAUCUAAAUUCUGCCUUUGUAGUGGAGAAUGGAGAGAUGAUGAAGUUUUGCUCGAGUUUUUCAACCAAUUUAAUGUCUUUGAUAACUUGUUCAUUGUUGCAUGUUAAAACUACAAAAUAUAUAUAUAUACAUAUAUAUAUAUUAUUAGUAGGUUUUGGACCUACAAUAUCAACUCAGUCCUUUCAUAUUUGUAUUUUAUUUCAAUAUAAUUCUUUAAGUACUGGAACAAAACCUAUCUAUUAUCAUAGUUGUAUAUAUCCA
rnacentral:lncRNA from 1 species